UUCACUUGCUGUGGUGCAUCUUCUAGGAGCUGAAGCUGCCAGCAUGAUCUGACGAGAGUUCCUCGUCUGAUAGCAAUGUUUAAUUCUCUUGUCAUGACUAAUGAUCAGAUCAUGCUGUGCAGUUUCAUCUGCUUGUGGAUGCACAAGAUACUGUUCAUA